rnacentral:rRNA from 1 species
UGCCAGCAGCCGCGGUAAUACGGAGGGUGCAAGCGUUGUUCGGAAUUACUGGGCGUAAAGCGCACGUAGGCGGAUUUUUAAGUCAGAUGUGAAAUCCCGAGGCUCAACCUCGGAACUGCAUUUGAAACUGGGAAUCUAGAGAUCAGGAGAGGUUAGUGGAAUACCGAGUGUAGAGGUGAAAUUCGUAGAUAUCGGGAGGAACACCAGUGGCGAAGGCGGCUUCCUGGACAUUAACUGACGCUGAGGUGCGAAAGCGUGGGGAGCAAACAGGAUUAGAUA